rnacentral:lncRNA from 1 species
AUUAGUAUUUUUUGAUGGCAAGAAGAACUAUUGCAUGACUAAUGGGUAAUAAGAGUUAGUUCAAAAUUUUGUGAUGAUUUUCAAACCAUUUCGUUAAGUGACACAUUACUUACGUCAAAUUUAAGUGGUAACAACUACACUGGUGGUCAUGUUGAUCAAGGCACUAAUUAGUCAUAUAAUGAGCUUGGAACAAUAUAUAAGGUAUUAUAUUAUUUUUCCACCAUGUGUUAUUUUAAGU